GAUGAAGAACGCAGUGAAAUGCGAUAAGUAAUGUGAAUUGCAGAAUUCAGUGAAUCAUCGAAUCUUUGAACGCACAUUGCGCCCCUUGGUAUUCCGGGAGGCAUGCCUGUUCGAGCGUCAUUUCAACCCUCAAGCUCAGCUUGGUAUUGAGUCCAUGUCAGUAAUGGCAGGCUCUAAAAUCAGUGGCGGCGCCGCUGGGUCCUGAACGUAGUAAUAUCUCUCGUUACAGGUUCUCGGUGUGCUUCUGCCAAAACCCAAAUUUUCUAUGGUUGACCUCGGAUCAGGUAGGGAUACCCGCUGAACUUAAGCAUAUCAAUAAGCGGAGGA
rnacentral:misc_RNA from 1 species